UUUCCGUAGGUGAACCUGCGGAAGGAUCAUUAUUGGAUUUUGAAACUUCAGGCCGCUGCUGGCUCUCCUCGGAGGGCAUGUGCACGCUUGUUGUCCAUUAUUUCUCCCACUGUGCACAAAUUGUAGACCUUUCAGUAGGCCUAUGUUGUUUUUCACAAUCUCUGAAUGUAAUAGAAUGGUUUUGAAUCUUGGGAAAUACAAUACAACUUUCAGCAACGGAUCUCUUGGCUCUC
rnacentral:misc_RNA from 1 species